GACGAACGCUGGCGGCGUGCUUAACACAUGCAAGUCGAACGGAAAGGCCCUGCUUUUGUGGGGUGCUCGAGUGGCGAACGGGUGAGUAACACGUGAGUAACCUGCCCUUGACUUUGGGAUAACUUCAGGGAACUGGGGCUAAUACCGGAUAGGAGCUCCUGCUGCAUGGUGGGGGUUGGAAAGUUUCGGCGGUUGGGGAUGGACUCGCGGCUUAUCAGCUUGUUGGUGGGGUAGUGGCUUACCAAGGCUUUGACGGGUAGCCGGCCUGAGAGGGUGACCGGCCACAUUGGGACUGAGAUACGGCCCAGACUCCUACGGGAGGCAGCAGUGGGGAAUAUUGCACAAUGGGCGGAAGCCUGAUGCAGCAACGCCGCGUGCGGGAUGACGGCCUUCGGGUUGUAAACCGCUUUCGCCUGUGACGAAGCGUGAGUGACGGUAAUGGAUAAAGAAGCACCGGCUAACUACGUG
rnacentral:rRNA from 1 species